GACGAACGCUGGCGGCGUGCCUAAUACAUGCAAGUAGAACGCUGAAGGAGGAGCUUGCUUCUCUGGAUGAGUUGCGAACGGGUGAGUAACGCGUAGGUAACCUGCCUGGUAGCGGGGGAUAACUAUUGGAAACGAUAGCUAAUACCGCAUAAUAGUAGAUGUUGCAUGACAUUUUCUUAAAAGGUGCAAUUGCAUCACUACCAGAUGGACCUGCGUUGUAUUAGCUAGUUGGUGAGGUAACGGCUCACCAAGGCAACGAUACAUAGCCGACCUGAGAGGGUGAUCGGCCACACUGGGACUGAGACACGGCCCAGACUCCUACGGGAGGCAGCAGUAGGGAAUCUUCGGCAAUGGACGGAAGUCUGACCGAGCAACGCCGCGUGAGUGAAGAAGGGUUUCGGAUCGUAAAGCUCUGUUGUAAGAGAAGAACGAGUGUGAGAGUGGAAAGUUCACACUGUGACGGUAUCUUACCAGAAAGGGACGGCUAACUACGUG
rnacentral:rRNA from 1 species